GAUGAACGCUGGCGGCGUGCCUAAUACAUGCAAGUCGAGCGAACAGACGAGGAGCUUGCUCCUUUGACGUUGGCGGCGGACGGGUGAGUAACACGUGGGUAACCUACCUAUAAGACUGGGAUAACUUCGGGAAACCGGAGCUAAUACCGGAUAAUAUUUCGAACCGCAUGGUUCGAUAGUGAAAGAUGGCUUUGCUAUCACUUAUAGAUGGACCUGCGCCGUUUUAGCUAGUUGGUAAGGUAACGGCUUACCAAGGCAACGAUACGUAGCCGACCUGAGAGGGUGAUCGGCCACACUGGAACUGAGACACGGUCCAGACUCCUACGGGAGGCAGCAGUAGGGAAUCUUCCGCAAUGGGCGAAAGCCUGACGGAGCAACGCCGCGUGAGUGAUGAAGGUCUUCGGAUCGUAAAACUCUGUUAUUAGGGAAGAACAAACGUGUAAGUAACUGUGCACGUCUUGACGGUACCUAAUCAGAAAGCCACGGCUAACUACGUG
rnacentral:rRNA from 1 species